rnacentral:rRNA from 1 species
GACGAACGCUGGCGGCGUGCCUAAUACAUGCAAGUAGAACGCUGAAGAGAGGAGUUUGCUCUUCUUGGAUGAGUUGCGAACGGGUGAGUAACGCGUAGGUAACCUGCCUUGUAGCGGGGGAUAACUAUUGGAAACGAUAGCUAAUACCGCAUAACAAUGGAUGACACAUGUCAUUUAUUUGAAAGGGGCAAUUGCUCCACUACAAGAUGGACCUGCGUUGUAUUAGCUAGUAGGUGAGGUAAUGGCUCACCUAGGCGACGAUACAUAGCCGACCUGAGAGGGUGAUCGGCCACACUGGGACUGAGACACGGCCCAGACUCCUACGGGAGGCAGCAGUAGGGAAUCUUCGGCAAUGGGGGCAACCCUGACCGAGCAACGCCGCGUGAGUGAAGAAGGUUUUCGGAUCGUAAAGCUCUGUUGUAAGUCAAGAACGGGUGUGAGAGUGGAAAGUUCACACUGUGACGGUAGCUUACCAGAAAGGGACGGCUAACUACGUGCCAGCAGCCGCGGUAAUACGUAGGUCCCGAGCGUUGUCCGGAUUUAUUGGGCGUAAAGCGAGCGCAGGCGGUUUGAUAAGUCUGAAGUUAAAGGCUGUGGCUCAACCAUAGUUCGCUUUGGAAACUGUCAAACUUGAGUGCAGAAGGGGAGAGUGGAAUUCCAUGUGUAGUGGUGAAAUGCGUAGAUAUAUGGAGGAACACCGGUGGCGAAAGCGGCUCUCUGGUCUGUAACUGACGCUGAGGCUCGAAAGCGUGGGGAGCGAACAGGAUUAGAUACCCUGGUAGUCCACGCCGUAAACGAUGAGUGCUAGGUGUUGGAUCCUUUCCGGGAUUCAGUGCCGCAGCUAACGCAUUAAGCACUCCGCCUGGGGAGUACGACCGCAAGGUUGAAACUCAAAGGAAUUGACGGGGGCCCGCACAAGCGGUGGAGCAUGUGGUUUAAUUCGAAGCAACGCGAAGAACCUUACCAGGUCUUGACAUCCCGAUGCUAUUUCUAGAGAUAGAAAGUUACUUCGGUACAUCGGUGACAGGUGGUGCAUGGUUGUCGUCAGCUCGUGUCGUGAGAUGUUGGGUUAAGUCCCGCAACGAGCGCAACCCCUAUUGUUAGUUGCCAUCAUUCAGUUGGGCACUCUAGCGAGACUGCCGGUAAUAAACCGGAGGAAGGUGGGGAUGACGUCAAAUCAUCAUGCCCCUUAUGACCUGGGCUACACACGUGCUACAAUGGUUGGUACAACGAGUUGCGAGUCGGUGACGGCGAGCUAAUCUCUUAAAGCCAAUCUCAGUUCGGAUUGUAGGCUGCAACUCGCCUACAUGAAGUCGGAAUCGCUAGUAAUCGCGGAUCAGCACGCCGCGGUGAAUACGUUCCCGGGCCU